CUUUAAAUGUCAAAACAAAUCCUUCUCCGGUCCUUCUCCAAAACUUAAAUCAUCAAGAGAGACAGGGUGUGAUGAAGAAGGAAGAAAUUUGAAUAAUGUCCAGCUUCUGGUCUAGAAGAUUCGGUAAGGCGAACAGCCAUCUGCUUAAAUCCAGAGCCCAAGAGAAAUCCAGGUCUUGAGGGAAGAAGACCAGUUCCAUUUGGAACAUGUUGAGUUUGAGAUAGCUGAGUAUGGGCCACAUGGAGAUAUCAAGGGUGCAUCUGGCAAUUCAGAAUGGCUAACUUCCGAGGCAGGGAUUAUAUUCAUCAUGCUUACUUCUCUAUCUCUAGUUCCAG